GUGGCCCCUCGACGAAGCUAGUGCCGUGUUGCUGCCGGAUGUGUUUGGCGUCUGAAGUCUCCUUCUCUCUCUCUGACACGUUUUGUCUGGCACCUGUUAAAACAUAUUUGGAUGUGCGCACCCGUUUCUGUCUUCUCCUGUCUCCUGCUGUAAAAGUCAUCGUGGCCCACAUGCCUCAGCACCGUCUGGUCAAGGCUUCACUCCUGGUCUCACUCCAGCCUCUGUUCCAUCCAGCAUCAAACCCAUUGCUCCACCAAGGCGUUCUGACGGUAGAGACCAGUGAUGCACAGCUGUCCGGUGACUCAUGAGUUUCAACAGUCUUUCCUGUCCUUCUCUUUCUUAGAAGGAAAUCAUUUUUCUGCCUGUCCUCACUCCAGUAGUCUCCUGAUGGGAUCUCUUUUCUGCGUAGUGGGGAGACACACAUUUUUACACUGGCGUGUAUACUGUUGCUUGGUGUCUUGAGGUAAUGUCCUUGGCCCCUGUUCUGGUUUCUGCAGGACCCUGAGGCAGUGGAAUA